rnacentral:rRNA from 1 species
GAUGAACGCUGGCGGCGUGCCUAAUACAUGCAAGUCGAGCGAACAGACGAGGAGCUUGCUCCUCUGACGUUAGCGGCGGACGGGUGAGUAACACGUGGAUAACCUACCUAUAAGACUGGGAUAACUUCGGGAAACCGGAGCUAAUACCGGAUAAUAUAUUGAACCGCAUGGUUCAAUAGUGAAAGACGGUUUUGCUGUCACUUAUAGAUGGAUCCGCGCCGCAUUAGCUAGUUGGUAAGGUAACGGCUUACCAAGGCAACGAUGCGUAGCCGACCUGAGAGGGUGAUCGGCCAAACUGGAACUGAGGCACGGUCCAGACUCCUACGGGAGGCAGCAGUAGGGAAUCUUCCGCAAUGGGGGAAAGCCUGACGGAGCAAAGCCGCGUGAGGGAUGAAGGUCUUCGGAUCGUAAAACUUUGUUAUUAGGGAAGAACAAAUGUGUAAGUAACUAUGCACGUCUUGACGGUACCUAAUCAGAAAGCCACGGCUAACUACGUG